AUAAUGGGAAAACUCCUAGUUUACCAAGAGAGCACAGGAAGCCUGUAGCAGAACCAGAAACAAAUCCACCAUCUAAGCUCCAGGCACCAGCAGAGUGACCCAUACUUCCUAUUUUCCCAAGUCUGAGAGCAAUAACAGUGGAGCAGUAGCGAAGAAACAGCUGGGGCUGUGAGAAGAUGCUGUGGAGA
rnacentral:lncRNA from 1 species